AGGCUCCUACGGGAGGCAGCAGUGAGGAAUAUUGGUCAAUGGGGGAAACCCUGAAGCAGCAGCGCCGCGUGGAGGAUGAAGGUUUUCGGAUUGUAAACUCCUUUUGUUAGAGAAGAUAAUGACGGUAUCUAACGAAUAAGCACCGGCUAACUCCGUGCCAGCAGCCGCGGUAAUACGGAGGGUGCAAGCGUUACUCGGAAUCACUGGGCGUAAAGAGCGCGUAGGCGGGAUAGCAAGUCAGAUGUGAAAUCCUAUGGCUUAACCAUAGAACUGCAUUUGAAACUGUUAUUCUAGAGUAUGGGAGA
rnacentral:rRNA from 1 species